UUUCCGUAGGUGAACCUGCGGAAGGAUCAUUAUUGGAUUUUGAAACUUCAGGCUGCUGCUGGCUCUCCUCGGAGGGCAUGUGCACGCUUGUUGUCCAUUAUUUAUCCCACUGUGCACAAAUUGUAGACCUUUCAGUAGGCCUAUGUUGUUUUUCACAAUCUCUGAAUGUAAUAGAAUGGUUUUGAAUCUUGGGAAAUACAAUACAACUUUCAGCAACGGAUCUCUUGGCUCUC
rnacentral:misc_RNA from 1 species